GGGGGGAAUUGUGGGUGGGGGGGAGGAAGGGGGGGGUGGAAUUGUGAAUGGGGGUGGUGGGAGAGGGAGGAAUCGUGAAUGGAAUGUGAGCGGGGAAGGAAAAAGUGAAUGGAGGGAGACGGGAACAGAAAGCAGUUCUGAAUGGAAUGGAAUGGAAUGGAAUGGGGUGGGGUGGGGGUGGGGAGGGGUGGGGGUCCUGGCAGCUCACAGAGGUGGGAGGGGGGGGUUGGAAAAGUCCUGGCAGCUCACAAAGGAAUGGGGGUGUUGGGAAGGAAAGGUCCUGAAAGGUCACAGAGCCACGGGGUGGGUGGGUGGGGUGGGAAAGGUCCUGGCUGGGCACAGAGCUAUGGGGUGGUUGGGUUGGGAUGGAAAGGUCCUGACAGGUCACAAAGGCAUUGGACUGUUGGGUUGGAAAGGUCCUGACAGAUCACAGAGCUACGGGGUGAUUGGUUUGGGUUGGGAAGGUCCUGACAGGUCACAAAGGCAUUGGACUGUUGGAUUGGGAUGGAAAGGUCCUUACAGAUCACAGAGAUGCGGGAUGAAUGAAUUGGGAUGGAAAGGUCCUUACAGAUCACAGACUAUGGGAUGGUUGGGUUGGAAAGGUCCUGGCUGGUCACAGAGAUGUGGAAUGAAUGGGUUGGGAUGGAAAGGUCCUUACAGAUCACAGAGCCAUUGGAUGGUUGGGUUGGGUUGGAAAGGUCCUAACAGGUCACAGAGAUGUGGGAUGGAUGGGUUGGGAUGGAAAGGUCCUGACAGAUCACAGAG
rnacentral:lncRNA from 1 species